rnacentral:rRNA from 1 species
CAGUCGCCGCGGUAAUACAGAGGGUGCGAGCGUUAAUCGGAUUUACUGGGCGUAAAGCGUGCGUAGGCGGCUUCUUAAGUCGGAUGUGAAAUCCCUGAGCUUAACUUAGGAAUUGCAUUCGAUACUGGGAAGCUAGAGUAUGGGAGAGGAUGGUAGAAUUCCAGGUGUAGCGGUGAAAUGCGUAGAGAUCUGGAGGAAUACCGAUGGCGAAGGCAGCCAUCUCGCCUAAUACUGACGCUGAGGUACGAAAGCAUGGGGAGCAAACAGGAUUAGAUACCCCUGUAGUCCCUGUCUCUUAUAC